GAUGAAGAACGCAGCGAAAUGCGAUACUUGGUGUGAAUUGCAGAAUCCCGUGAACCAUCGAGUCUUUGAACGCAAGUUGCGCCCGAAGCCUCGGCUAAGGGCACGUCUGCCUGGGCGUCACGCAUCGCGUCUCCCCCAACCGCCAAGGCGGAGGGGAAGGAAGAUGGCUUCCCGUGCCUCACCCGGGCGCGGUUGGCCUAAAUUUGGAGCCCGCGGCACUUAGCUCUCGCGGCGAUAGGUGGUGAACAAGGCCUUGGCCGUGCAAACAACCCGCUGCGAAGCUCUAUGUCACGUGCGCUCGUCGGACCCUUUGAAGUUGCCUUUGGUGACUUAAAACCUUUGCGACCCCAGGUCAGGCGGGGCUACCCGCUGAAUUUAAGCAUAUCAAUAAGCGGAGGA
rnacentral:misc_RNA from 1 species